ensembl:miRNA
GAGACUGUCGUUUGGGGUGAGGUAGUAGGUUGUAUAGUUUGAGGGUUUAACCCUU